GGGAAGCUAGUAUAAUGGCAGUACUCUCGCCUUUUAAGCGAAGCAGUGUUGGUUCGAGUCCGACGCUUUCCA